rnacentral:rRNA from 1 species
CCUACGGGAGGCAGCAGUGGGGAAUCUUGGGCAAUGGGCGCAAGCCUGACGCAGCAACGCCGCGUGAAGGAAGAAGGCUUUCGGGUCGUAAACUUCUGUUCUCAGGGACGAAGAAAGUGACAGUACCUGAGGAAUAAGCCACGGCUAACUACGUGCCAGCAGCCGCGUAAAUACGUAGGUGGCAAGCGUUAUCCGGAUUGAUUGGGGGUAAAGGGCGUGUAGGCGGGUGUGCAAGUCAGAUGUGAAAACUCAGGGCUCAACCCUGGGCCGGCAUUUGAAACUGUGUGUCUUGAGUGCUGGAGAGGCAAGCGGAAUUCCGUGUGUAGCGGUGAAAUGCGUAGAGAUACGGAGGAACACCAGUGGCGAAGGCGGAUUGCUGGACAGUAACUGACGCUGAGGCGCGAAAGCGUGGGGAGCAAACAGGAUUAGAUACCCUUGUAGUC